rnacentral:rRNA from 5 species
GCAUAUCAAUAAGCGGAGGAAAAGAAACCAACAGGGAUUGCCUUAGUAACGGCGAGUGAAGCGGCAAAAGCUCAAAUUUGAAAUCUGGCACCUUCGGUGUCCGAGUUGUAAUUUGAAGAAGGUAACUUUGGAGUUGGCUCUUGUCUAUGUUCCUUGGAACAGGACGUCACAGAGGGUGAGAAUCCCGUGCGAUGAGAUGCCCAAUUCUAUGUAAAGUGCUUUCGAAGAGUCGAGUUGUUUGGGAAUGCAGCUCUAAGUGGGUGGUAAAUUCCAUCUAAAGCUAAAUAUUGGCGAGAGACCGAUAGCGAACAAGUACAGUGAUGGAAAGAUGAAAAGAACUUUGAAAAGAGAGUGAAAAAGUACGUGAAAUUGUUGAAAGGGAAGGGCUUGAGAUCAGACUUGGUAUUUUGCGAUCCUUUCCUUCUUGGUUGGGUUCCUCGCAGCUUACUGGGCCAGCAUCGGUUUGGAUGGUAGGAUAAUGACUAAGGAAUGUGGCUCUACUUCGGUGGAGUGUUAUAGCCUUGGUUGAUACUGCCUGUCUAGACCGAGGACUGCGUCUUUUGACUAGGAUGUUGGCAUAAUGAUCUUAAGCCACCCGUCUUGAAACACGGACC